UCACAAGCUCGAGGCCGUAGCAGAAGCGCUCGUGGCGCGGCCAGGUCAGACUCCUACGAAUCUGCAAAUUCUGCU
rnacentral:lncRNA from 1 species